CAGUCGCCGCGGUAAUACAGAGGGUGCGAGCGUUAAUCGGAUUUACUGGGCGUAAAGCGUGCGUAGGCGGCUAAUUGAGUCGGAUGUGAAAUCCCCGAGCUUAACUUGGGAAUUGCAUUCGAUACUGGUUAGCUAGAGUGUGGGAGAGGAUGGUAGAAUUCCAGGUGUAGCGGUGAAAUGCGUAGAGAUCUGGAGGAAUACCGAUGGCGAAGGUAGCCAUCUGGCCUAACACUGACGCUGAGGUACGAAAGCAUGGGGAGCAAACAGGAUUAGAUACCCCGGUAGUCCCUGUCUCUUAUAA
rnacentral:rRNA from 1 species